CCUACGGGAGGCUGCAGUGGGGGAUAUUGCACACUGGAGGGAACUCUGAUGCAGCGACGCCGCGUUAGGGACGAAGGUUUUCGGAUUGUAAACCUCUGUCUUCGGUGACGAAACGAGACGGUAGCCGAGGAGGAAGCCACGGCUAACUACGUGCCAGCAGCCGCGGUAAUACGUAGGUGGCAAGCGUUGUCCGGAAUUACUGGGUGUAAAGGGAGCGUAGGCGGGAAAGCAAGUUGAAUGUUUAAGGUACGGGCUCAACCUGUACAAGCGUUCACAACUGUGUUUCUUGAGUGGAGUAGAGGUAAGCGGAAUUCCUAGUGUAGCGGUGAAAUGCGUAAAUAUUAGGAGGAACACCAGUGGCGAAGGCGGUCUGCUGGACAGCAACUGACGCUGAGGCGCGAAAGCGUGGGGAGCAAACAGGAGUAGAUACCCGAGUAGUC
rnacentral:rRNA from 1 species